GCGGGGUAACGGCCCACCAAGGCAACGAUCAGUAGGGGUUCUGAGAGGAAGGUCCCCCACAUUGGAACUGAGACACGGUCCAUACUCCUACGGGAGGCAGCAGUGAGGAAUAUUGGUCAAUGGACGGAAGUCUGAACCAGCCAAGUAGCGUGCAGGAUGACGGCCCUAUGGGUUGUAAACUGCUUUUGUAUGGGGAUAAAGUUAGGGACGUGUCCCUAUUUGCAGGUACCAUACGAAUAAGGACCGGCUAAUUCCGUGCCAGCAGCCGCGGUAAUACGGAAGGUCCAGGCGUUAUCCGGAUUUAUUGGGUUUAAAGGGAGCGUAGGCUGGAGAUUAAGUGUGUUGUGAAAUGUAGACGCUCAACGUCUGAAUUGCAGCGCAUACUGGUUUCCUUGAGUACGCACAACGUUGGCGGAAUUCGUCGUGUAGCGGUGAAAUGCUUAGAUAUGACGAAGAACUCCGAUUGCGAAGGCAGCUGACGGGAGCGCAACUGACGCUUAAGCUCGAAGGUGCGGGUAUCAAACAGGAUUAGAUACCCUGGUAGUCCGCACAGUAAACGAUGGAUGCCCGCUGCUGGUACCUGGUAUCAGCGGCUAAGCGA
rnacentral:rRNA from 1 species